rnacentral:rRNA from 1 species
AUUGAACGCUGGCGGCAGGCCUAACACAUGCAAGUCGAGCGGCAGCAGGACCUUCGGGUUGCCGGCGAGCGGCGGACGGGUGAGUAAUGCCUAGGAAUCUGCCUGUUAGUGGGGGAUAACGCGGGGAAACUCGCGCUAAUACCGCAUACGUCCUACGGGAGAAAGCGGGGGCUCUUCGGACCUCGCGCUAACAGAUGAGCCUAGGUCGGAUUAGCUAGUUGGUGGGGUAAUGGCCCACCAAGGCGGCGAUCCGUAACUGGUCUGAGAGGAUGAUCAGUCACACUGGAACUGAGACACGGUCCAGACUCCUACGGGAGGCAGCAGUGGGGAAUAUUGGACAAUGGGCGAAAGCCUGAUCCAGCCAUGCCGCGUGUGUGAAGAAGGUCUUCGGAUUGUAAAGCACUUUAAGUCGGGAGGAAGGGCUGUAGGCUAAUACCUUGCAGUUUUGACGUUACCGACAGAAUAAGCACCGGCUAACUUCGUGCCAGCCGCCGCAGUAACAC